ACUUCAUAUUUAUUAACUAACAUUUAUGUACCUUAUUAGACAUUAUAUAGUGAAACAUUUCUUUUGUAUGGUAGAUCAUGCUGCAGUGAGAAACCAAGAAAUUCCUAUUGUUGUGUGCAUACUUGCCAUGGAGUGUCAUGGAAAAAGGAUAUGGAAAAUACAGGGGUGAAGAUGUGGUACAUUGAAGUUGCAGGAAAGCAAGCUGGAAGCUAUAUACCCAGAAUUCCAGGAGAAUAGGGGCUGUACGUCUGUGAAGGGUAUUGUUAUGAGAUGUAGGGAGUUGCUCAACAGAUUGAAUUGUUAAUCAAGUUAAUUGAAAUGUAUGCAGUGCAACUGUACUGGUAAUGAGAUGCAGGUCUUUGUCCUACAUGAUGAGGGAAACAUAGUGUAUGGCAGUUUUGGAAAACAUGUAGUACAGUCUUUGCCUCACCCACCUCACAUAGAGUAAGAGUGGUCAAUAUUGUCUCCCCUGGAUGUAGAUUGCCUUGGAUCUAGCUGACCUUUGCUGUAGUCCGAUGUAGUGGUUGGUUAUCUGGUAGUGAUGCAGGAACUUGGAUCUCUGCCACCAGGAGUUUGAGUCGGAACCAGAGCAUACGUAGGAGUGACGGGCACACUUAGAGCAGUCUCCAUCAUAACAAGCCACAGUCGCAUCCAGGACACUUGGUCAGUGUCGGUGUUUGGUUUAGUUGGUAGCAGCCGUGGAGCUCUGGAGAAUCCCUCACAGUCGGGGGUGGUUAGUGUUGGGCCGUCUGCAGACAUCUUGGUCACCAGGGAGAACUCGUCAGUGUUCAUCCGUGAAGUGGAAGGCUGUAUUUCAGGUUCACUGUCAUCGGAAGAGGACACAGGCAGUUUCAAGCCUUUAUUCCAAGGAGUAUAACCCUUCUGGAAAUGUAUUUUCUUGCGAGAUUUUUCACCUUUUCUUUUCAUGGUUGUUUGGAUCAGUAAUGAAGCAAAUAGUGUUAUGAAUAGUGUGGCUAAAAAUUACCAUAUUUAUAGUGAAAACCUGUGUAUUAGACAGAAUAAGACAUGUGUGGAAUUUUUGGCAGGACACAGGACCCCGUAUAUUGAAACAGGCCUCUGUGACAAGAGGUGUGAACGAGAAACUUGUGAAUUCAGUCGGGAGAAAUGACAUGCUUGAAGGAGCUGUAUAUUGUACAGUGUUUGACAUGUACCCUAAAGUUGCCUGUCACUUAAUGGCAUACAAAUGUUCUUUAAAAUGACACAGUAUAUUGCAUAUACAGGUUUUCUGAUUAUUUGCUGACUUUUGACAUUUGACUGUAAUGAUAAAAAAAGUGGGUUCUUUUUUAGCUCACCUGUCACAAAGUGACAAGGUGAGCUUUUGUGAUCGCGCGGUGUCCGUCGUCCGUCCGUCAGUCCGUGCGUCCGUCUGUAAACUUUUGCUUGUGACCACUCUAGAGGUCACAUUUUUCAUGGGAUCUUUAUGAAAGUUGGUCAGAAUGUUCAUCUUGAUGAUAUCUAGGUCAAAUUCGAAACUGGGUCACGUGCUCUCAAAAACUAGGUCAGUAGGUCUAAAAAUAGAAAAACCUUGUGACCUCUCUAGAGGCCAUAUAUUUCACAAGAUCUUCAUGAAAAUUGGUCAGAAUGUUCACCUUGAUGAUAUCUAGGUCAAGUUCGAAACUGGGUCACGUGCCUUCAAAAACUAGGUCAGUAGGUCUAAAAAUAGAAAAACCUUGUGACCUCUCUAGAGGCCAUAUAUUUCAUAAGAUCUUCAUGAAAAUUGGUCAGAACGUUCACCUUGAUGAUAUCUAGGUCAAGUUCGAAAGUGGGUCACAUGCCUUCAAAAACUAGGUCAGUAGGUCAGAUAAUAGAAAAACCUUGUGACCUCUCUAAAGGCCAUAUUUUUCAUGGGAUCUGUAUGAAAGUUGGUCUGAACGUUCAUCUUGAUGAUAUCUAGGUCAUGUUCGAAACUGGGUCACAUGCGGUCAAAAACUAGGUCAGUAGAUCUAAAAAAAGAAAAACCUUGUGACCUCUCUAGAGGCCAUAUAUUUCAUGAGAUCUUCAUGAAAAUUAGUGGGAAAGUUCACCUUGAUGAUAUCUAGGUCAGGUUCGAAAGUGGGUCACGUGCCUUCAAAACUAGGUCAGUAGGUCAAAUAAUAGAAAAACCUUGUGACCUCUCUAGAGGCCAUAUUUUUCAUGGGAUCUGUAUGAAAGUUGGUCAGAAUGUUCAUCUUGAUGAUAUAUAGGUCAAGAUUGAAAGUGGGUCACGUGCCUUCAAAAACUAGGUCAGUAGGUCAAAUAAUAGAAAAACCUUGUGACCUCUCCAAAGGCCAUAUUUUUCAUGGGAUCUGUAUGAAAAUUGGUCUGAAUGUUCAUCUUGAUGAUAUCAAGGUCAGGUUCCAAACGGUCAUGUGCGGUCAAAAACUAGGUCAGUAGGUCUAAAAAUAGAAAAACCUUGUGACCUCUCUAGAGGCCAUACUUGUGAAUGGAUCUCCAUAAAAAUUGGUCAGAAUGUUCACCUUGAUGAUAUCUAGGUCAAGUUCGAAACUGGGUCACGUGCCAUAAAAAACUAGGUCAGUAGGUCAAAUAAUAAAAAAACCUUGUGACCUCUCUUGAGGCCAUACUUUUCAUGGGAUCUGUAUGAAAGUUGGUCUGAGUGUUCGUCUUGAUGAUAUCUAGGUCAAGUUCGAAACUGGGUCACGUGCGGUCAAAAACUAGGUCAGUAGGUCUAAAAUUAUUAAAAUCUUUUGACCUCUCUAGAGGCCAUAUUUUUCAAUGGAUCUUCAUGAAAAUUGAUCUGAAUGUUCACCUUGAUGAUAUCUAGGUCAGUUUCGAAACACGUGCGGUCAAAAACUAGGCCAGUAGGUUUAAAAAUAGAAAAACCUUGUGACCUCUCUAGAGGCCAUAUUUUUCAUGAGAUCUUCAUGAAAAUUAGUGAGAAUGUUCACCUUGAUGAUAUCUAGGUAAAAUUCAAAACAGGGUCACGUACCUUCGAAAACUAGGUCAAUAGGUCAAAUAAUAGAAAAACCUUGUGACCUCUCUAGAGACCAUAUUUUUCAAUGGAUUUUCAUGAAAAUUGGUCAGAAUUUUUAUCUUGAUAAUAUCUAGGUCAGGUUCAAAACUAGGUCACUUGAGCUCAAAAACUAGGUCACUAUGUCAAAUAAUAGAAAAAACGACGUCAUACUCAAAACUGGGUCAUGUGGGAAGAGGUGAGCGAUUCAGGACCAUCUUGGUCCUCUUGUUUUUAAAAAGAUACUUUCUGGCAGAAUUUAAUAUAUGCACUAAAUCAUGUGUGUUUUCAGAUUACCAUGAAUGCAGAAAGAACAGCAUUUUUUAUUUCAUUCAAUUAUUCAUACUUUUAAAGAAGAUAUUGCAAUUUUAGUUUUUUCAAUGCUGAAAUUGUCAUUCUCAGAAUUGUAGCAAAAAUGAUGUUUUCACCUGUCAUAGCUAUAUUGCUGGCAUUUUUCAUAUGCAUGAGUUAGAAUGUCCAAACUUCACCGGUUGUUUGCUGAUAUAUUAGAUAUGAACACCACAAAAUAUUAUUUGGGUUCGGCAAAGAUUUUGGGUUAAAUAGGUAAUAAGGUACAGUUACCUGCCCUUCGUUACCCAACUGAAGGAAGUGUAUCCGAGAGAAAAGAGGUCCCUCAUUUCAUGAUGGAUUUGAUUGUAAAUAGAUAUCCUAAGCUUCUGAAAGUAGCCAAAUUUUAUAGAUCUGAUGUAAAUGAAGAGAAAGGGGUAAAACAUUGCUGGAAAAUCAUGUUUUUUUUGCAAAUGACUGUCUGCGGAUUUGUACAAAAAGUAGGUUGAACCACUUCACUUUGUAAAAAUGCAAUACACUAUUCAUUCUGACAGAUGUGAGGAGAAAAGUAGCAGGUCAACAGGUCACUUAAAAGUGAUUUUUGUGUUUCUCUCGGAUAGAUUUCUUAAGAGAAGGUAUUUGCAUUUGUCUUCAGAACAUUGUGCCAAAGCCUUGCAUUGAUAUAUUUGUAUGUAACGCUAUGGGAAAUUAAUUGUACUUUUGAGCCAGUUGUUGUAUGUAAGCUGG